AGCCACCUAAUCACCACCUCUGAGUCACCUUCAAGGACCAAACAUCUGAUGUUCAAAUCUCUUGCUCUUUGGAUACCUUCCAGGGCUGCAAGAAUCUUAGCCCUAAGAGAGUCUCCUUCUCCAAUUGGGCCUGAGAGCAUGGCAGUGAUAACCCCAUCCUCAUUCUUGAACACUCAAUCCCAGAAGGCCCUGGAUUCCUUAAGCAACUACCAUCAAAAUUCAGUUUUAUGAACCUAGAGGGAGGAGGGGACCAAGAAGGACUACGAGUCCUCUUACAUAGGGCAGAGGAAGCUAUCUCUUUCCAAUAUCUUACCAAAUCAGCCACAGAAUAACCUGAGAAUAGCUCCAUAGUUUUCAGCCAGUGGGUACCCUUAAAAGUAUUAGAUCUAAUAAGUUUUCUAGGGUUCUUUCCUUGUCUGAAAAUAUUUGUGAGUUUCUUUCUUCCCAUAGGGACCAACACACUGCUGCCCUAAUGCUUCUCUACAUAAUCUUCCCUCUCUUCUUCGGCCAUCUGAAAAAUGAAGAAGAGAACAAGCUUUGGACGCUCCCCGGGGGAAUCCAAAUACACCGAAAGAGGGAAAAAGCCCACUCCCAUACUGUUUUAGCGACCGAACAAGUAACCAUAGGGUGGUAAUCAGUUUCUCCAUCAGCUUUACAGAGAGUACACCUAUUAGGAAGUAAACAAGAAUUGGGUCUCUUUUUCUAAAGUAGGUCAUUUGUGUUAAUUCUUUCCAGGAAAGUUUCCCAACAAAAACUACCAACCCGAGGAGAACAUUGAGGAGGAGAUUGGCAAAGGAAUUUAAAGAAAGAGAAACAAGAAAAGACCCUUUGGAAAGUAGAGACCAAACCCUUUUGUCUAGUUUUGAGGGAUCCACACAAACCUUACUAAGGGUACUCAACAAAUUGGGCAAGGAACCAAUCUCCUCAUCCCUUAACCCUCUAUGGAAACCAAAAUCCCGAGUUGGGUCCAAAGGAUUUACCAAGGUGGAGAUAAAAUUGGACACGACCUCAUUUUUAUACAAAAAAGAUGGAGUAUAGGGAGGAAAAAGGGUCCUUUAAAGCACGAUCCCCAAUCCAAUACCCUCCCAAAGCAGAACAAAAUUCCUAGAACACACAUCAUACUUGACACACCUGAGAAACUGGGGAAGAAUAUUGUGAAUUACCUUCCAUGGUGUUACCAACAUGACCCGAUGAGAAACACCGACAUCCCAACCACUCUCUAAACAACCAUGAAUACUUGCCACCACUUCACUCCACAAACUUCCUCUUUCCAAAAGCCACCUCCACAACCAUUUUCCUAAUAAUGCUGCAUUCUUUUAUACCGUAUUUCCUAUUUCUGAACCCCCUUUUUAUUUUUGCACACAAUCUCCCACUUAAUUAGAUGGUCCUUCUUGCUUUCCCCUAGCUCCAAAGAAAAUCUCUCAUAAGUUUCUCUAAUUUCUUGGAUUCUUUAGGUGGGAUCCUGAAGACAAAGGGAAAGUAGGUUGGCAAAUUGGCAAGAGUAGCCCUAAUCAAUGUGGUACACCCUCCCAAGGAGAUAUAGUUCUUUUGGAAGGCCGGUCUCCCAUUCACUUGAGAUGGCGGUGGGAGAUAUGUUGGGUUCUGCAAGGCUGCAGGUGGAAGAAGAAGACUCCGGUUUGGUGGUUCAAGGAGGGACAAAUGAUUGUGAGAAGGGGUUGGGCGCUAGCCAACUCAACGGUUGGGGAAGAAAAGGGGAGGGUAGGUGGAAGGAAGAGAAAGUGGUUUAUUGAUUGUGGAGGGGGUGAUAAGCAGGAGAGAAUUUAUAAUAGGAGACUAGUGGGUAUUGCUAUGGCUGCUGAAGAUGAGAGAGGGAUUGAGGUAGGAGAUUGGGAGAAGGGUCUAGAGGAAAAGAGUUGGGGCAGGAAGGAGGAGAAGAGGGGGAGUAAGGUAAAAGAAGAAACAAGUAUAUUCCGAAAUGGAGAGGUGGAAAUAAGCAAGUUGGUUGAGAGAGAGGUGAAAGUGGGGAAAUCCCUGGGCCUGUUCUAUUGGGGAGGGGAAGAUUUUGCGAGGAAAACUUUUGAGCAAGUUAGAAAGGAAGAGAAAAACAAAAAAAAAAAAGAGGAAACAAUUGAGAAGAAUAGAGGUUGGGUUGAAGAAGGGGGUGAGGACAUGUGAGGAGUCGAAGCCUAAACUUGAAAAAGAACUAGGAAGAGGGGGUAAGGAUGAGGGUGAGGAUGGAUCAAAAAUAGCAGGGAAGGAAGAA